rnacentral:misc_RNA from 1 species
AAUAACAAUGAAUGUUACUCUAAAGGCGCAUCCAGACGGAGCAGCUUUUGCCGCGCGUCAAAUACGCGUCCACAUGGUGCGGCAUUUAUUUCCCGAUUUGUUUUAAAACUAUAAUAAUAAUAUAUUAUUCAUAAAUACUAUAGAGUUGUGUCAUUUUUAAUGGGCAACGAAAUGCACGAGAUCAAUGGCGAAUCGGAAUACAUGGAUAAUAGUUGGCAUGCAUACAAGUCUAACUAUUAUUUCCCAAACAACACAUUAUAUUCAAAACA